rnacentral:rRNA from 1 species
CUAGUAAUCGCGGAUCAGCAUGCCGCGGUGAAUACGUUCUCGGGCCUUGUACACACCGCCCGUCACACCAUGGGAGUCGGUAACACCCGAAGUCUGUAGCCUGACGCAAGAGGGCGCAGCCGAAGGUGGGAUUGAUGACUGGGGUGAAGUCGUAACAAGGUAAC